AAUAGCCAAUAUCCUCCUGAUGGUGGCGAUGCAUACCGCACUAGUUCCGCGAGUGGAAGAGAGAAAUCUCGAGUGCCGAAGGAUGGCGUCCCGAUGAUUCGAUCCAAGUCUAGGGUUUUGGAUGGUUUUUGCUGAUUGUUUUUCCUUGUCCCAGUGGACUAGAAUUGUUGUCGUGAAGUGAAAGAAGGAAUAUUGAAGGGCUUUCGCCGGUGUUGACGUCUUCCAAGAAGCGGAUUGGAGUAGUUCUUGAUGGAACAAGAAGCAUGCUUUUAGUGUUUUUUGCUUGCCGAUGGUUGAUGAGAUGUCUUUGUAUGUGAGCCAUCUCUCUCCUCAUGUUCGACGAGAAGAACUUGAACGGGUUUUUCGGAGGUUUGGUCGGUGUAGCGUACAACUGAAAGAUGGAUAUGGAUUUGCAGUCUAUGAAUAUACGGCGAAUGCAGAGAGAGCUUUGCGAGCGCUGCAAGGCAAGAACAUUUGUGGGGAGCACAUAUCUCUUAAUUGGUCAAACAGGCAGCCUAGGCCUCCUCAAAUAUCUGCAAGGAGCACCAGAUUUUAUGAACCCUAUCGUGGAUGGAACUUCGGGGAAGACAAUGAUAGUAUCGGGAUCAGGGGUUCUCGAGAUCAAAGGGAUUUUUCUACUGGUGCAGCUCGUGUCCCAAAUAAUCAUGGACAGCAUCAAUUGGAUAUGACACCCAAAGAAGCUGGUAAUGUGCACGAUAUUAAUGAUAUCGAAGGGGAUAAAGGUGUAAAUACGAAUGAGGGAGUAAUGAAUGAAGGUGGUACAAUUGAUCUAAAUCCCUUGGAGAAUGAUCGAUGGGGUGAACCUAUUCAUGAUACAUUGGCCGGUAAUGGAGUUGAGAAUGGAGAUGAUUUUGACCGCUAUGAACCUUACCAUGGUUACAAUAGAAGCAAUGAUAAUGGAAAUGUUCAGAUAGAUAGCUCUUAUGGCUCUCCAGACCGAGGAAGUUCCAAGGAGAGAAGAUGGAUAGAGCAAUCUGUUGGCGAUGAUACUCAUAGGAACUGUGAUAAAUCAAAAACUCAGCAGACCUGCUAUAACUGUGGACUGGUUGGUCACAUAAUGCGUAACUGCCCUCAAGGGGAUGCUCGACGAGAGGAGUUUGGCAAGUUCAACUGCAAGAGAGAUGAAAUAAAUUGCCUAGAUAAAGGGGAGGGAAGGCUGAAGUGGUUCAGACCCAAUUCAUGGGGAAGGUCAGAUUUUAGUAGAGAUCCUUUGAUAUCAAGGCACCAUAUGCAGGUACGAAAGGAACCUCAUCCUGAUAAAGCUAGAAGAGCAUUCAGGGCAGGGGACACCUCUCUAGAACUUAGGGAAGAACGACGUUCCAAGCUCAGAAGUAAUUCUCAGGCAAAGAAAAGGAGCAAGCUGGAACAUGAAGCCCCCAAAAAAGUUGUGAAAAGAAGUAGAAGAAGACGAAGGAGAUCUCGUACCUCAUCACUUUCUUCUGAUUCUUCUACAACUAGCUCGCAAUCACAUUCACGGUCCCAAAAAUCCAUAUCCAAUACUUGCUGCUCUUCACGCUCAAGGUCUGCAUCUUCUCAGUCUCAAUCGGCAUCUUCUAUUUCAAGAUCUGCUUCUUUGUCACCCUAUUCUAAAUCUGUAAGUUCUAGAUCCAGAUCAAGGUCAAGGUCGAGCUUUCCGAGAUCAUUGUCUUUAUCUGUCUCAUUGGAACGGAAAUCUACUCCUUCCCCAAAGAACAACCAAAUUGAUGUUUGCAUGAAUACCUCUCCAAAGGGCAAUGUGAAGACUCUGACAAGCCCUGAGUCCAAGCAUUUAGAGAAUGCCAAACCAAAAGUUACAUGUUCAACAGUUGAUGAUGAAAAUGCAAUCACUCCAUGCAAGGCAGAUAAUGAGAUUAAUGGUGAACAUAUUGGACAUAAUGGUGAUGAUGUAAAAUAUUCUGCAUUUGUGGCUCAUUACAAUGAAACCAAUGCAUGCACAGAUCUGCAUAAAUAUGCCGUUGUUACUAAUGAGAAUCAUGAACAGAACAAUGACUCACAGGAAGCUUCAUUUGUAAAGCUGAAUAGGCAUAUUCCCUCUGAAUGUGAGACUAGCAAGUCUAGAAGAAUACCAACACAGGAAAUGUUCUUGGUCCUGCGACAUUAUGGACUGGCAGCACCAGAAGAGGGUUGUCCUGAUAUUUCCAUAGAGGAAUACUUUGGUGCUGCUCACUUGUGGCCGUGGGAAAUGAUCUACUAUCUUCGUUCGAAGAAGGGUCCCAUUUCUACUGAGAACUAUGCGAGGCGACUUGAACAAAACAGGGAAUUUGGCAUUGUGGAUAAGUACAUCAGAAGCAGUAGUGGUUGGUGAGAAAGUCAAGAUGAUACAUGACAAAGUUCCCUGAUGCUGUCUUGUUCAUUUUUAAGAUGCACACGGAUUGGCAUUUUUGAUGAUGGCAAUGUUUUCAUGCUAAUUUUCUUCUAGAAUUUGCUGUCUUCUCCCAUGAUCAGAUGUUUGAGGAGAGAAUAGGGGGAAAGGAAAUCAAGUGUUCUCCAGUCUAGCUCCCAUCUUUUUGUCAGCCAGAUACCUUUGUAGAGUUCCUACGAAGAAGAGCUUAAGGGGCACAGAGCACUCAUCCAGCCGGCCAUCCACCUUUGUCUCCCUGUACAUCAAUUGAUGCUGAUAUUUGAUAAUUGAUGCAAUGUCAAGCUUAUGUUAUCAAUUUCUUUAUGCGGCACCUAGAUUUCUGGGAAAAAUGAAUGUUCCAGCUCAGUCCUUCAAGGGAAAUAGUUGGUGUUUCAUUUGUAUCUACUCUAGUUUGAAAGGAAGGAGGGGGAGGGGGCUUUAGAGUCAACAUCCCUUGGUGUAACAACUCUCAAACUCACAUCUUUGUUGCUUGCUAAACUUGUUUUCUAUUCUAUAUAUGAUAUGUCAACCUGUUUGUUGGUCAAUGAUGUCCGCACUUUCCAUUGGACGACUCUUAUGUCUCUGCCAGGGGCCAACUCAGGCGUGGAAGCAUCCAAUUGGGGCACGAGCAAUUUGCCAAUAAUGAAUCCAGGGGACUUGUUUACGACUUUGGGAAUUCUCUCUUUCCCCUUUUCAUUUGCUGCUUAAAAGUUUUCCGAGGGAGGAGCAAAGCGCAAGCUCGAGGUGCCGAGGCAUGGAAAAAGAAGAAGAAGAAGAAGAAGAAGAAGAAAUCGGUGCAUCGAAGACCAAUUGCAUUUAGUGGGUGCCAUGAUGGCGUGUUGGAUGUAUUCAAAGGGCAGUAAAGGGUGAAGAGGAAAGAGAGGGAGGUGAGGAGGGUGGAAAUAAAUUGGUAUUUAUCACCUGACGUAAUCCCACCAUUAUUCUCAACCGUCUCAAUUACUCUUGCAUUAAAUUGUUUUUUAUGGUAUUUCAAUCCAAAAUAGUCUUCCAUUUC